rnacentral:rRNA from 1 species
UACGUAGGGGGCGAGCGUUGUUCGGAUUUACUGGGCGUAAAGAGCGCGUAGGUGGUUCGAUAAGUCAGAGGUGAAAUCCCUCGGCUCAACCGAGGACCCGCGUCUGAUACUGUCGAACUUGAGUGCAGGAGAGGAGAGCGGAAUUCCGAGUGUAGCGGUGAAAUGCGUAGAUAUUCGGAGGAACACCGGUGGCGAAGGCGGCUCUCUGGACUGUCACUGACACUGAGGCGCGAAAGCUAGGGGAGCAAACAGG